rnacentral:rRNA from 1 species
AGUGAACGCUGGCGGUAGGCCUAGCACAUGCAAGUCGAACGGCAGCACUGUAAGAACUUGCUCUUACGGGUGGCGAGUGGCGGACGGGUGAGGAAUACAUCGGAAUCUACUUUUUCGUGGGGGAUAACGUAGGGAAACUUACGCUAAUACCGCAUACGACCUACGGGUGAAAGCAGGGGAUCUUCGGACCUUGCGCGAUUGAAUGAGCCGAUGUCGGAUUAGCUAGUUGGCGGGGUAAAGGCCCACCAAGGCGACGAUCCGUAGCUGGUCUGAGAGGAUGAUCAGCCACACUGGAACUGAGACACGGUCCAGACUCCUACGGGAGGCAGCAGUGGGGAAUAUUGGACAAUGGGCGCAAGCCUGAUCCAGCCAUACCGCGUGGGUGAAGAAGGCCUUCGGGUUGUAAAGCCCUUUUGUUGGGAAAGAAAAGCAGCAGGUUAAUACCCCGCUGUUCUGACGGUACCCAAAGAAUAAGCACCGGCUAACUUCGUG